UACGGAGGGGGCGAGCGUUAUUCGGAAUUAUUGGGCGUAAAGGGCGCGUAGGCGGUCCGACAAGUCAAAGGUGAAAUCCCUCGGCUCAACUGAGGAACUGCCUUUGAAACUGUCGGACUUGAGUACGGGAGAGGCGAGUGGAAUUCCUGGUGUAGCGGUGAAAUGCGCAGAUAUCAGGAGGAACACCGGUGGCGAAGGCGGGUCUCUGGGCCGAUACUGACGCUGAGGAGCGAAAGCGUGGGGAGCGAACAGG
rnacentral:rRNA from 1 species